UACGGAGGAUGCGAGCGUUAUCCGGAUUUAUUGGGUUUAAAGGGUGCGCAGGCGGCACGGCAAGCCGGCGGUCAAAUCGCGGGGCUCAACCCCGCCCAGCCGUCGGAACUGCCGGGCUAGAGUGGGCGAGAAGUGCGCGGAAUGCGUGGUGUAGCGGUGAAAUGCAUAGAUAUCACGCAGAACUCCGAUUGCGAAGGCAGCGCACUGGCGCCCUACUGACGCUCAGGCACGAAAGCGUGGGUAUCGAACAGG
rnacentral:rRNA from 1 species